rnacentral:rRNA from 1 species
ACUCAAUAGAUACCCUGGUAGUCCACGCCCUAAACGAUGUCUACUAGUUGUCGGGUCUUAAUUGACUUGGUAAACGCAGCUAAACGCGUGAAGUAGACCGCCUGGGGAGUACGGUCGCAAGAUUAAAACUCAAAGGAAUUGACGGGGACCCGCACAAGCGGUGGAUGAUGUGGAUUAAAUUCGAUGCAACGCGAAAAACCUUACCUACCCUUGACAUGGAAGGAAUCCCUGAGAGAUCGGGGAGUGCUCGAAAGAGAACCUUUACACAGGUGCUGCAUGGCUGUCGUCAGCUCGUGUCGUGAGAUGUUGGGUUAAGUCCCGCAGCGAGCGCAACCCUUGUCAUUAGUUGCUACGAAAGGGCACUCUAAUGAGACUGCCGGUGACAAACCGGAGGAAGGUGGGGAUGACGUCAAGUCCUCAUGGCCCUUAUGGGUAGGGCGUUCACACGUCAUACAAUGGUACAUACAGAGGGCCGCCAACCCGCGAGGGGAGCUAAUCCCAGAAAGUGUAUCGUAGUCCGGAUUGUAGUCUGCAACUCG